CGGAAGCGAUCGUUGGGGGGAAUGAAGCCUGGUCCGAGAUCUCUUCACAUAGAUCUGCAUAAUCUGUAAGAGAAACGAAGGACCUCGAGCCAGACAACAUUCCCCUCAAGGAUAAAGCUUCCU
rnacentral:miRNA from 15 species